UACGGAGGGUGCGAGCGUUAUCCGGAAUUACUGGGUUUAAAGCGUGCGCAGGCGGCUUUGCAAGACAGAUGUGAAAUCCCCGGGCUUAACCUGGGAACUGCAUUUGUGACUGCAUGGCUAGAGUGCGGCAGAGGGGGAUGGAAUUCCGCGUGUAGCAGUGAAAUGCGUAGAUAUGCGGAGGAACACCGAUGGCGAAGGCAAUCCCCUGGGCCUGCACUGACGCUCAUGCACGAAAGCGUGGGGAGCAAACAGG
rnacentral:rRNA from 1 species